GGAUGUGAAGAGAUCUGGUUGCAAAGUGUCACCCCAUUAUCGCCAGGUUUGAUUCGGCUGAUCUGGCUGGGUAGGGGGUGACCCCUUCCUCCUUUACCACUCCAUUUGUGUCCUUAGCAAUGUUCCAUUCAAGAGGACAAUCUUCUCCCAUAGAGGAGGACCAUUCUUCUUUUAAGGGUAUACAAAGUAGCUGUGCUCCCCUGCUAAAACCUCUAAAUAAGCUCUCAAGGUCUAUUUGUAGGAGAACAUAGGUAAUCAAGCUUCCAAGACUACAGACACACCCAAAUGAGGCACAGCAUGUAGCAGAUUGUUUUUCU
rnacentral:snRNA from 1 species